AACUGUAGACGUAGUAGGCGCCUA
rnacentral:siRNA from 1 species